rnacentral:rRNA from 1 species
AUUGAACGCUGGCGGAAUGCUUUACACAUGCAAGUCGAACGGCAGCACGGGGGCAACCCUGGUGGCGAGUGGCGAACGGGUGAGUAAUACAUCGGAACGUGCCCAGUCGUGGGGGAUAACUACGCGAAAGCGUAGCUAAUACCGCAUGAGAUCUGUGGAUGAAAGCGGGGGACCUUUGGGCUUCGCGCGAUUGGAGCGGCCGAUGGCAGAUUAGGUAGUUGGUGGGGUAAAGGCUCACCAAGCCGACGAUCUGUAGCGGGUCUGAGAGGACGACCGACCACACUGGGACGGAGACACGGCCCAGACUCCUAGUGGAGGCAGCAGUGGGGAAUUUUGGACAAUGGGCGCAAGCCUGAUCCAGCCAUUCCGCGUGCAGGAUGAAGGCCCUCGGGUUGUAAACUGCUUUUGUACGGAACGAAAAGGCUCUGGUUAAUACCUGGAGCUGAUGACGGUACCGUAAGAAUAAGCACCGGCUAACUACGUGCCAGCAGCCGCCGUAACAC